rnacentral:rRNA from 1 species
UACGAAGGAUCCAAGCGUUAUCCGGAUUUAUUGGGUUUAAGGGGUGCGUAGGCGUCCUGGAAAGUUACGGUUGAAAUCUCCUUGCUCAACAAGGAAACUGGCCGUAAAACUAUCAGGAUUGAGUACAUUUGAAGCGGGCGGAAUGUGUCAUGUAGCGGUGAAAUGCUUAGAUAUGACACAGAACACCAAUUGCGAAGGCAGCUCGCUAAACUGUAACUGACGCUGAGGCACGAAAGCGUGGGGAUCAAACAGG